CUCAUCUGGAGACAAAGAAGAGAGUUGCAGAGAGACACAAGACUGAGGAUUAGAACUUCAUUCAAGCUCAGUUCAUCACAUGAAUAAUUAGCAAUACAAUCUUCAUGUUGUCCAUAUAAACUUGUGAUGGACACUGAUUUAAAUGGGACAGAGAAGCGAAUCCUGAAGCCUUUACUCAGAAUUCAUUCAUUCAUGCAGGCACAAUUCACACUGAAGUCACUGGGAGUUUUGCCUGGAUAAAGACUGGGCUAGAUUCUGCUCUCAUUUACAUGAGUCUUGGUUUACAAAUCAAGAGGAGUUUUCUAAAAGCUGCUGUCUCAUUCUCAAAACUGGGACCUGAAAAUCCAGGUAAACUCUCUCCGCUUCUUGCAUCACAACCAGCAAUAAAGUUUCCUUAAUGGGAAGCCAGCUAAUGAUUCUACUGAUAAUGCACAAGGCAGAAUAAAUCCUUGCUAGCUCUCCCAUAGCUUUAUGGGCUCUCCAGGACUAACAGCAAUAAAAACAUGUGUUGA